rnacentral:rRNA from 1 species
AGCAGUAGCCGCGGUAAUACGGAGGGGGCUAGCGUUGUUCGGAAUUACUGGGCGUAAAGCGCACGUAGGCGGCUUGGUAAGUUAGAGGUGAAAGCCCGGAGCUCAACUCCGGAAUUGCCUUUAAGACUGCCGAGCUAGCAGGUGAGAGAGGUAAGUGGAAUUCCGAGUGUAGAGGUGAAAUUCGUAGAUAUUCGGAAGAACACCAGUGGCGAAGGCGGCUUACUGGCUCAUACUGGACGCUGAGGUGCGAAAGCGUGGGGAGCAAACAGGAUUAGAUACCCCCGUAGUCCCUGUCUCUUAUAA